ACCAGUCUUUGUUCAAGGGUAUACAAAUAGCUGCACUCACCUGCUAGAACCUCCAAACAAGCUCUCAAGGUCCAUUGCAGGAAUGUAGAGUAGUAAAGC
rnacentral:sRNA from 14 species